rnacentral:tRNA from 1 species
GUCAGGAUGGCCGAGCGGUCUAAGGCGCUGCGUUCAGGUCGCAGUCUACAUUAGUAGGCGUGGGUUCGAAUCCCACUUCUGACA